GUGCUUGCUUUGGGAGCACAUAUGCAAAAGUUGGAAUGAUACAGAGAAGGUUAGCAUGGACCCUGUACAACGGUGAUGUGCAAAUUCCUGAAUUGUUCCAUAUUAAC
ensembl:snRNA U6 U6 spliceosomal RNA